rnacentral:tRNA from 1 species
GCGACCAUCGUAUCAUUGGUGAAUACACUGCGUUGCCAACGCGGGGAGGGGAGUUCGAUUCUCCCUGGUCGCUCCA